UCUGACUUCUAAUACUUGGCAUAGAAUAAAGCUUUGUGUAACUUUGUCUCAGUCUCAUUCCAUUGAUAAUGGACCCAACAUUGGGGGCUUGUCCGGGAUCAAACGACAAGAACUGAGCCAGCAUCAGAAUUUCUGGGAAAAGCCUCCAGAGUGUCGCAUUUUAUUCACCACCCUGGAGAGCAAGACUGUAGAGAUUAAGGCAAACAGCUAGAGUGAAGGCACAUACCAAAGGGCCACUGUUGGGGUUACAAGGAAGAAUCCCAGGGCACAGCUGGACGCCCCGCCCCCCGCCACGACACGUAGCAUUCUGCAGCAGCCGCCCUGUCGGUUUCGUUACAUAAAAUACAGAAAAUUCAUAUGGGAGACUUCCAAGACAAAUACAGUUCUUUGAUAUGUUGAAAUCCUGAAACUGAAAUGGAUAAAAAUUUCCAGAACUAACUAAAACUACAUUCAAACUAAACCAGAAUUAGUAACAUGGGACCUCAAUCCCUGGCAAAUGAAGGACUACUGUCCCAGGGAACCUCCUGACUGGAACCCAAACUCUGAUAAAGGUAAGGAGAGUCUAUGUUUCUACCACCAGGCCCUGCUGGGAGGCCUCCAUGUGACUGCAAGGAGACCCAUAAAUUUAUCUAAAACUAGUGUGGUGACUCAAGAUAAGGAUGAGUCUCCAGAGGCUUUUCUAGAAAGGAUUAUAGAAGCCUAUAAAAUAUAUAGCCUGAUUGACCCUGAGGCACCCACAAAUCAAAGGGCAAUAAACCUUGCCUUUGCCAGUCAGUCAGCCCCAGAUAUAAGGAGAAAACUUCAGAAAAUUGAAGGAUUUAAAGGAAAGAAUUUGACUGAGUUCAUGGGAAUGGCAGAAAAGGUGUUUAACAACAGAGAUACACAAGAAGAUGGAAAACAGACUAGAAAAAUAGUUAAAGUUUUGGCAUUAUAUGAGACGGGGAAAAAACAAAGGAAAAGAGGUCAAUGAAAAGGAAAAAGGUAAAAAAUGGUCAAUGGAAAGAAAAGCCUAAGUAUAAGAAAAAAAAAAAAACUUAUGAGAAGUAUUAGCUUCAGAUCAGUAUACUUACUGCAAGGAAAGAGGACACUGGGCCAAGGAGUGCCCCAAAAAGAAGAUGGUAGUGCUGGCCACCAGAGACUAAAGGGACCAUGGUUCAGAGCCCCUCCCCAAACCUCGGGUAAAAACUCAGGUGGAGGGGAAAUCAAUUGAUUUUUUGAUGGACAUGGGAGCCCAAUUUUCAUCAUUACUACAAUCUAUGAAAAAACGAUCUGAAGAGGAAGUCUGGGUACACGGGGAAAAUGGCACAAAAAGACAUAAAUAAACAACAGAAAGGACCUUAAAUUUGGCCUACCGCUGUUCGCAUUAGUUUUCCCUCCCCUGGGAAGCAAAGGAAUGGAUCUCCAUAGAACACACCUUUGCUUCUCGUCAAAAGGCCAAAACUGGGGAGUACCGAUCCAUUCAGGACUUGCGGGAAGUUAACAAAUGGAUUAAAGAUAUCCACCCGAUGGUGCCUAACCUCUAUACCCUACUUUCCCUCCUGAGCCCCAAGAGAACCAUGUGUACUGUCUUCGAUCUCAAGAAUACAAGAGAGUCUUCUCAACCCCUCUUUGCUUUUGAGUGGUCCAACCCACAGAAAGUGUUCCAAGGCCAGCUCACCUGGACAAGAACAAAUGCCCAAGUGAUGGGGUAUCAGGCCCUCCUCCUCAACAAACCGAAAGUGACUUUCUGGUCCCCGGUGGUGCUAAAUCCAGCCAUGUUGCUGCCAGAGGAGCUGACUGACCACAGUACUUGCUAAUAGCCGCUGAGGACUAUAAGUCAUGCUUGCGGGGGACAAGCCACUUAUUUAAGCUUUGAUCUCCAAGAAGGAGUGCGUUCACUGUCUGAGUCCAGGAAACAGGUAACCAACUGAUACCUCCAGCCCACCCACACUACUGCGGGGAGGUCCUAACCCAGGUCACAGGAAUAAGGCCAGAUCUCAGAGACACUCUCCUCCCGAAUGUGGAGAUGACUUUUUUCACAGAUGGGGGUAGCUACAUGGUGGAUGAAAAGAGGAAUGCAGGGGUUGUGAUGAGUUCUCCUGAGCAGGAACUCUAAAAAGCGGCCCUGCCACACAUCUCUAGGAACAACAGGUAUGUCUUUGCUACUCUCCAUAUACACAGGGCUAUUUAUAAAGAAAGGGGCCUAUUAACAGCAGAAGAAAAAAUUAAAAACAAAGAAAAAAUACUGGCUCUCCUCCAGACUAUUUGGGACCUGAAAGAGGUGGCCAUUAUGUAUUGCCCGGGACACCAAAAGGGGACUGAUCUGGUUUCAAAAGGAAAGCAAUUAGCAGAUCAAACAGCAAAACAAGCAGCCAGGAAAAUGACUCAAAAACUGGUUACACUCCUGACUCCAGCCCUACCAGAAAAACCAGAUUAUUUAGAGGAAGAUUUAAAAUAUUUACAAAAAUGGACUAAAUUAGACUAUAAAGGGGACUGAGCUAAGACCAGGACAAAAAAGUUAAUUCUUCCUCGAAGACUUAAAAAAAAAAAAAUUGUAAACCAAAUACAUCAGGGUACUCAUUUAGGGACACGGAAACUUAAAAAACUAAUGGGCAAGCAAUUUCAGGUAUCUAAAUUAGGGCAUAUGGCUCAGGAUAUAGUUAAUAGAUGUGCUCAAUGUCAGGCAGUAAAAGCAGAAAAACUAG